rnacentral:misc_RNA from 1 species
CAACCCUCAAGUCCCAGCGGCUUGGUGUUGGGGACCGGCGAGCGAAGCCCCUCCGGGGGUUUCACGCCGCCCCCGAAAUGAAUUGGCGGUCUCGUCGCGGCCUCCUCUGCGUAGUAGCACAACCUCGCAACAGGAGCGCGGCGCGGCCACUGCCGUAAAACGCCCAAACUUUUUUUAG